AGCGAACCAGGGACACCUCCAAUAAAGUCUCGGCCAAGAAAAAGGAUGUAUACAUAGUCGAGAAGUGAAACCACAGCGGUCGUGCCUGAGGACAUGCACGGUGCAGGAGGGCCGUGUUGGCAACACUGAGUGUUGGCAACACCGAGUGAAGCUACCGAGCCGGGCGGUGGCGCGCGCGUGUCACUUUUGCUCGAGACUUCUAGGCGUGCGCUUGCGUUUAAGAAUCACCGUGCCUUUUUGUCAUCUACCGUCAGAUUAAUUGAUUAUAUUCAUUAUAUG